rnacentral:rRNA from 1 species
GGCUCAGAACGAACGCUGGCGGCGUGCUUAACACAUGCAAGUCGAACGAUGAUCUGGCAGCUUGCUGCUGGGGAUUAGUGGCGAACGGGUGAGUAACACGUGAGUAACCUGCCCUGGACUCUGGGAUAACCCCGAGAAAUCGGAGCUAAUACCGGAUAGGACCUUGCACCGCAUGGUGUGGGGUGGAAAGUUUUUUCGGUCUGGGAUGGACUCGCGGCCUAUCAGCUUGUUGGUGAGGUAAUGGCUCACCAAGGCGUCGACGGGUAGCCGGCCUGAGAGGGUGACCGGCCACACUGGGACUGAGACACGGCCCAGACUCCUACGGGAGGCAGCAGUGGGGAAUAUUGCACAAUGGGCGCAAGCCUGAUGCAGCAACGCCGCGUGCGGGAUGACGGCCUUCGGGUUGUAAACCGCUUUUAGUAAGGAAGAAGGGGAGCUUGCUCCUUGACGGUACUUGCAGAAAAAGGACCGGCUAACUACGUGCCAGCAGCCGCGGUAAUACGUAGGGUCCGAGCGUUGUCCGGAAUUAUUGGGCGUAAAGAGCUCGUAGGCGGUUUGUCGCGUCUGCUGUGAAAUCCCGAGGCUCAACCUCGGGUCUGCAGUGGGUACGGGCAGACUGGAGUGCGGUAGGGGAGAAUGGAAUUCCUGGUGUAGCGGUGGAAUGCGCAGAUAUCAGGAGGAACACCGAUGGCGAAGGCAGUUCUCUGG